GAGAGACAGACAGAGACGCCGAGAGACAGCGCGAAUUGUGCGCAGCGAUUGUGCGUCUGUGAGCGCUCCUCUGGCUGGCCUCCAGUGACCACCUCGGGGGAUGAUGGGGCGCGCGAGAGCGGGCCCUCUGAACACGGGUGCUCGCAGGGACCGCAACGGGGACGUCUCGAGUUCCUGGUGGUGGCGGCUGGCAUUCCUUGACCUGUGACCUCAUCUCCCCAGUCUCUGCCUCAAGGAUCACAUUGCCUCCUCCUCUUCUAUAAGGAUCAAAUCUCUCUUGGCGCCUCUUGUAAAUACACCUGUGAUUGGAUUAAGGCCCACCCAGGCCUUGGGGAUUCAGUGGCAAAGAAGACUCUUGCAAUCUCUGUCCUUUUGAAGAGCUCCUUUUUAGAAACACAGGGAAGGGACAUGUACCCAGACAGGCCAUCCAUUCCAACUGCUGUGAGGGGCUGCUUGAGGGGUUGGCCCAAGAGCUUGUGGGAACACAGAGGAGGCCAAAAACUUAGAGAUAGAGACAGCCAGCGAGAGAGGGAACACAAGCAGG